GCGCAGGGCAACAGGGUGGCCCAGCUGCAGAAAUAAUCAACCUGCUUGUAAAAAAGAAGAAAAUCGGUGUAGCCUGUCAGAGCGGCCUGCAUCCAAAGCUGGAUCUGGAAGAAGACACAAACUGUCACCCUCAACCAGGAACUAGCAAGCUUCCUGUGAGCUGGAAACCUGUGGAACAGCAGUGCCGCAGUCCACAGUGAAGUGUGUUUUACAUCACUGGACUGAGAAGGCACCAAGCAAGGCAAGUGCCUGCUCCAAAAUUACACCUUCAAGCUCUAUUUGAAUUUUCAGCUGCUCACAUGGACAAAUCAAACAUCCUCUGGAAAAAAGUUUGAUGGUCAGAGGAGACCAAGGUUGAGCUAUUUGGUCACAAUGACAAAGAGGUAUGUUUGGAGGAGUAAAGGAGGUGAGGAUUUCAAACCUAAGAACAAUCCACCAGCUGUCAAGCUGGUGGUGGUAGCAUAAUUCUCUGGGGCUGCUUAGCUGCCAGUGGUACAGGUACACUGCGCAAAGUGGAUGGUUUAAUGGAGAAGGGGAGCUACCUCCGAAUUUUCCAACAUGAUCACAAUGAUCAGCUUCAAAUUGAGGACAAUGAUCCCUUCUUGAAUGACUUUCCCAAAGCCCCGACCUCACACCAAUAGAAAAUCUAUGGACCAGUCCUGUGCCAGGAAAACAAGCAAUUUAAAUGAGGUCUGCAAAUUCUGUCAAGAAGAGUGGUCAAAUAUCUCGCCAGAAUUAUGCCAGAAGCUCGUUGACGGCUACCAAAAGUGUCUGGUAAAGGAUGCUUGCAUAAUCAUUGUACCAUGGACAGAACAGGUCAAAGAAAUCAUUAAAAGUCCCAAAUUACCAUGACAUUCAUGCCCAUGAUUGCUGAAUGUAAACGUUUGACUACAGCCGUACAACAAAUACACAAUCUUAAAGUUAAUCUGCUGCUCAGUUAUUUACCUUGGUAUAAAAAAUGC